rnacentral:rRNA from 1 species
AACGAACGCUGGCGGCAGGCCUAACACAUGCAAGUCGAGCGCACCGCAAGGUGAGCGGCGGACGGGUGAGUAACGCGUGGGAACGUGCCCUUCUCUGCGGAAUAGUCCCGGGAAACUGGGGGUAAUACCGCAUACGCCCUUCGGGGGAAAGAUUUAUCGGGGAAGGAUCGGCCCGCGUUGGAUUAGGUAGUUGGUGGGGUAAUGGCCUACCAAGCCGACGAUCCAUAGCUGGUUUGAGAGGAUGAUCAGCCACACUGGGACUGAGACACGGCCCAGACUCCUACGGGAGGCAGCAGUGGGGAAUCUUAGACAAUGGGGGAAACCCUGAUCUAGCCAUGCCGCGUGAGUGACGAAGGCCCUAGGGUCGUAAAGCUCUUUCACCCGUGAAGAUAAUGACGGUAGCGGGAGAAGAAACCCCGGCUAACUCCGUG